rnacentral:rRNA from 1 species
GAUGAACUGUGGGUAGCGGAGAAAUUCCAAUCGAACCCGGAGAUAGCUGGUUCUCCCCGAAAUAGUUUUAGGACUAGCCUCAAGUUAGAUACCUGGAGGUAAAGCACUGAAUAGCCUAGCGGCCGAGAGGUUAGCGAAGCUUAUCAAACUCAGAAUGCCAGAGUAUUGAUGCUUGGGAGUCAGACAGUGUCAGAUAAAUGUCAUUGUCAAAAGGGAAACAGCCCAGAUCUACAGCUAAGGUCCCAAAGUCAGGUUAAGUGGAAAACGAUGUGAAGAUACGCAGACAACCAGGAUGUUGGCUCAGAAGCAGCCACUCAUUCAAAGAGUGCGUAAUAGCUCACUGGUCGAGCGUCUUUGCGCGGAGAAUUUAACGGGGCUAAACCUGACACCGAAGCUUAGGCAAUACAGCAAUGUAUUGGGUAGGGGAGCGUUGUAUACGCGGAGAAACAGUAGCGCAAGCGGCUGUGGAGUGUAUAGAAGUGAGAAUGCCGGAAUGAGUAGCGCGAAUGCAGUGAGAAUCUGCAUGGCCGAAAGCCUCAGGUUUCUGGAGGAAGGUUCGUCCGCUCCAGGUUAGUCGGGAGCUAAGGUGAGGCCGGAAGGCGUAGCCGAUGCACAGACGGUAGAGAUUCCGUCACCACCAAAAGAGUUAAGCACAGGGACACAUAUGAAGUCUCAGAGCCGGGUGUUGGUUCCGGUAGAGAUCGAGGGAAAUUAGUACCGAAGUCUGAGAUGGAAGAUGGCGAGAAAAGCUGUGUGUAUUUCUGAGGUGCCCGUACCGCAAACCGACACAGGUAGGUAGGAAGAAGAUUCUAAGGCCAACGGGAGAAGGGUUGUUAAGGAACUCGGCAAAUUGACCCCGUAACUUCGGGAGAAGGGGUGCUCCAGAGAUGGAGCCGCAGAGAAUCGGCCCAAGCAACUGUUUACCAAAAACACAGGUUUGUGCUAAAUCGAAAGAUGACGUAUACGAGCUGACGCCUGCCCGGUGCUGGAAGGUUAAGAGGAGAUGUGCAAGCAUUGAAUCGAAGCCCCAGUGAACGGCGGCCGUAACUAUAACGGUCCUAAGGUAGCGAAAUUCCUUGUCAGGUAAGUUCUGACCCGCAUGAAAGGCGUAAUGAUUUGGGCACUGUCUCAACAGCCCGCCCGGCGAAAUUGUAGUACCGGUGAAGAUGCCGGUUACCCGCGACAAGACGGAAAGACCCCAUGGAGCUUUACUGUAGCCUAAUAUUGGGUUUCGAUGUUGCAUGCACAGGAUAGAUGGGACUCUUGGAAACCAAGGCUUUGGCUUUGGCGGAGAGGCCGUUGGGAUACCAUCCUUGCGAUAUUGGAAUUCUAACCUGCGGCUCUGAAUCGAGUCGGGGGACAUUGUUAGGUGGGCAGUUUGACUGGGGCGGUCGCCUCCUAAAGAGUAACGGAGGCGUUCAAAGGUUCGCUCAGCUUGAACGGAAAUCAAGCAAAAGAGUGCAAACGCAGAAGCGAGCCUAACUGCGAGACUGACGGGUCGAGCAGUAACGAAAGUUGGAGUUAGUGAUCCGGUGGUAUGUGAGUGGAAAUGCCAUCGCUCAACGGAUAAAAGCUACCCUGGGGAUAACAGGCUGAUCUCCCCCAAGAGUCCACAUCGACGGGGAGGUUUGGCACCUCGAUGUCGGCUCAUCGCAUCCUGGGGCUGUAUUCGGUCCCAAGGGUUUGGCUGUUCGCCAAUUAAAGCGGUACGCGAGCUGGGUUCAGAACGUCGUGAGACAGUUCGGUCCCUAUCUGUCGUGGGCGCAGGAUAUUUGAUGGGAGCUGUCCCUAGUACGAGAGGACCGGGACGGACGUACCUCUGGCGCACCAGUUGUUCCGCCAGGAGCAUAGCUGGGCAACUACGUACGGAUCGGAUAAACGCUGAAAGCAUCUAAGCGUGAAGCCGACCCAAAGAUAAGAUAUCCCACUGAUUCAAUCAGGUAAGAUCCCUUGUAGACUACGAGGUUGAUAGGCACGAUGUGUAAGUGGAGCGAUCCAUUCAGCAAGUGUGUACUAAUAGAUCGAGGGCUUGACCAC